rnacentral:lncRNA from 1 species
GGAAAUCAACCGGAAUUAAACCGAUUCCACCCUAAUUCUUAUACACAUUCAAGUCUCAUAUUAAUUUUCAGAACACGGGCGUUACAAUUCUCCCCCACUAACAUGGAUUCGUCCUCGAAUCCUUCAACACCGUCCACCAGUUGGACUCCGUGCAACCGUCCCAAACGAUCUGCACUCCCACAACUGACUCCUCUGAGGCUCCUAUCUAAUCCAUAUACUCACGUUCCAGACCCUAUUUGCUCAUACUCACCCACUUCCCCCGUCCACAGGUCGCAACCCAUGAAUCAUACCGGCUCGUCCUCAGGCCUCUGCCUUAGACUACGGUAUCCAGGAAGUCUCACCACUCCCCCCGCUAUCAGGUCGCAACCCUCAAGUCAUACCGGCUCACUAUUAGGCCACCCGCCUUCUAGCUACGGUAUCCGGGAAGUCUCACGCUCGCUCUCGGGUCGUCACCCUCAAAUGUGCACUCGAAUCGUCAUCCGAAGCCAUCACAUCAUAUCCGAGCAAAUAAGUCUAAACGCCCCCGAGCAUAUCUCUCGAUUAGAUAUACCUCCCGUGGUCCACUUAUAGCAUCGCAAUGCUAUACUAACCACCACCCCGAGACUUUCCAAAAAUAGAACCGUCAAACCCGACACUUUCUAUUUUUAGAAACUCGCACAUAUUUCUCUUACACAUGACACAACAAGUCAAAUCAAGAAAUACUCACAUAGUCCAAGUACAACAUCACAAUGUCAUACCUACCAAACAAUAUUCCCACCUGGAAUAUCAUCUCUACCAUGACCAUUCUUCAAGUCAACUCCCAAACAAUCCCGUCACUCAGAGUAUUACAUAAUAGUCUCCAACUUAACUUCUCGGAAAUCCAUUUCCAACAAAACACCACCGAAGACCCGCGCUCCAGACUACAACCACCACAACCACAUAACUACUUCGAGCACCACGCUCGCAACCUCUAGCCUCCCACACUGCCACGAGCAGAAACUAGGAAAACAGAUGACUAGAGAAAAGAUAAAACAUCACAACUUACCGUGGAAUCUCAUUGAAGGCUCGAGAGGAUGAUCUAGGUCUCCAUGCUCACACAACUGAUUAAACACACAAAUCAAUCAGCAUGCAAUCCACAUCAUCAUUUUCCAUCAACGAAAUUCACACAUCACAUAAAAAAUAACCAAUUUACUCCCGCCCUAGAACCGUAAGGGCUCUGAUACCAAAUUGAAAGAACCCAUCCCAUUUUUUUUUCUUUUAAACAUGCAAACCGGAUUAACCCAAUUAAUUCGAACCAGCUAAACCGGCCAUAAUAAUUUAAAUCAAUUAAACCAAGCAAUCUCAUUAAAGUAAACCAACAAUAUUAUCCAGCGGAAGACUUAACCAAAAAUCCAAUAAUACGAUUCCAUUAAACCAACAAGUUCAACCAAACAUUAUUCCAAAACAUGAUCCUCCUAACAUGUUUCUAAAUUCCAUUCUAACACCCUAAUAAAUCCAACAAUAAUCUAAAACACCAAUGAGUGCCUAGAUCAUCCUCCUCUCCUCGCCAUGAUUCCACGGAUCACACUUUGCUUUUACCUGCAUCAAAGAAAGAGAUGCAUAAGUAUUUCAUAAAUACUUAGUGAGGGCGAUCCUACCAUCUACGAGCUAUACACACAAGCAAUGAGAUAACACCCACAUAUAUAACAAAAACAAACCAUCCAGCAAGCUAAACAUCCAAUAACACAUCCAGUUCACCUACAAAUCAUCACACAACAAGUCACUCAAUCCCAAUCGCUUAGAUAAGCUCAUGGUCACGCACUCACCUUAACAAGGUGAUUUGAGUUACAAAAACAACCAGGAAAUACUCUCUUCGUGACUGCAACAGCCAAACAACGCCCUACAACAAACCACACAAACACAAAUCUCUAAGAACCAAAAGGACAGAAACAUCAAAAAAACUACAGCCGCAGAAACGAAGCCCUAAAACAUAAACUAACCGUUAACUUCUUAAUCCCUACGGUGAAAAGCAAGAUACAGACGUCACGAAGCCCCCUACAAAAUUUGGUGCCGAUCGGAGAAACGAUGAAUCCACGAUCGCACUUACAAACUCCGCUGAUCCCAGUUCGCAACAGAGAAAACGCGUCUCACCAAACUGCAUAUAACUCACUGAGUAUUAAUCCAAAUUCACUUCUGUAAAAAGGAGAAUCAAC